GUAAGUUUGAAAAGAUAGUUUAAUUGUCACUUUCAUUCACAAUGAUCAAGAAACACCCGAGGUAUCCAGGGUUCGAAUCCCUGAGCUUCCGCCA
rnacentral:tRNA from 1 species